ensembl:rRNA 5S_rRNA 5S ribosomal RNA
GCUUACGGCCAUACCACUCUGAACACGCCCGAUCUCCUUUGAUCUCGGAAGCUAAGCAGGGUCGGGCCUGGUUAGUACUUGGAUGGGAGACCGCCUGGGAAUACCAGGUGCUGUAAGCU